GGUGCUCCUUUGAUAAGAACAGAAUUUACAAACAUUGGCUUGAAUAGACACUGCACACUCUCAGACUUGGAGACUGUGUGUACAGCAGAGAAGUCCUGUAGCGCUGCUGAUGAUCUUGAUAUGUUUGAAGACAACGUUGAGGAUGAUUUGGAUAUUGAUAUGUUUGAAGAAAAUGCUGAGGAUGACAUGGAUAGGGAGAACAGCCUUCAAAGCGAUGAUCUUGGUGGUGAUACCGAUGGUUUUAAUGAGGUCAACGCUGAGAAUGACUUGCAUGAAGAGAGCAGCCUUGAAAGCAGCUAUGUUAGUAGUAGUGGGUUGUCUGAUAAACACCAGAUGAAGAUUCCCCAA
rnacentral:lncRNA from 1 species